CAAAAUUCGGCACAACACCGUUUACAGAGUCUAGAGCUGUUGUCCCAGCCUCCGGAGGCAGAAUUUUCCUGGCUUCGGACGCAGCCUUGAAGUUGCACUCACGUGCUCGUGCAGAUCCAGCAAUCUCCUGACAGUUUAAACGGCCUGGACCACCUGCUUGGAAUAACAUGGAGUGACUGUCAUGAUUUGUGAAUCAGAGGAACUUUUGAUCCUGAAGUUUUUGAUUCUGGCUGAUGGAAUACACGCUUCAGAGGAAGAUAUUAGAUGUGCGCUCAAUGGGAAGAAAACGCUGAAUUUUCAUGAGUCUACAAAAGGAGUCAAGUCUACUCAAAUACUCUCAAGAGCCCAUUCAAUCAUGUGCCAUCUGCAGUGAAAGCCAUUUACACACCUGCCCAAAUGAGAACAAAGCCUACUACUCAAAGCCUCUGUGGACGUGGCCUUAAUGUGACCUCUGACGAGCAUUGGGAACAGCUACAAACAUUAUCCUCAUUUCUGUCAGGACCACUUCUGUCAAAUGAAUACUAACUUGAGUACUUGAAUGAAUACUUUAUUGACUUGAAGACAAUUAACACUGUUAUUAUGAGAUUUUGCAAAUUGCAGGCGUACUCACUCCUAAGUGCAGAGUCGUUGAAGUGGGUGCUCUAGUGAAAACAUGGCAUUACUCUAUGAAUAUAACCUUCGAUAACAGUCUUGUGGAAGGGACUUUCAAGAAAAGAUUCAUUUUCUAAUUUUCGUUUAAAGCUUUUGAGUGGCAUCCCCUCCCACUGCAGUGCCCUUCAAGGUAGCAAAAAUGCAGUUUGGAAUUCGCCGUGGAACAUUGAAGGGGCAUUGCCUCAGACGAGUAACAGGUCAGAUAAAAAGUCCACUCUAUAUAUUGUGUUGUAAGUUCAUCAAAAGAAUAAUACUUGAU